UACGUAGGGUGCAAGCGUUAUCCGGAAUUAUUGGGCGUAAAGAGCUCGUAGGCGGUUCGUCGCGUCUGCUGUGAAAACUGGGGGCUCAACCCCCAGCCUGCAGUGGGUACGGGCAGACUAGAGUGCGGUAGGGGAGAUUGGAAUUCCUGGUGUAGCGGUGGAAUGCGCAGAUAUCAGGAGGAACACCGAUGGCGAAGGCAGAUCUCUGGGCCGUAACUGACGCUGAGGAGCGAAAGCAUGGGGAGCGAACAGG
rnacentral:rRNA from 1 species